AACGAACGCUGGCGGCAUGCCUAACACAUGCAAGUCGAACGAGACCUUCGGGUCUAGUGGCGCACGGGUGCGUAACGCGUGGGAACCUGCCCUAGGUUCGGAAUAACUCCCCGAAAGGGGUGCUAAUACCGGAUAAUGUCUUCGGACCAAAGAUUUAUCGCCUUUGGGUGGGCCCGCGUUGGAUUAGCUAGUUGGUAGGGUAAAAGCCUACCAAGGCGACGAUCCAUAGCUGGUCUGAGAGGAUGAUCAGCCACACUGGGACUGAGACACGGCCCAGACUCCUACGGGAGGCAGCAGUGGGGAAUAUUGGACAAUGGGCGAAAGCCUGAUCCAGCAAUGCCGCGUGAGUGAUGAAGGCCUUAGGGUUGUAAAGCUCUUUUACCCGGGAUGAAAUGACAGUACCGGGAGAAUAAGCUCCGGCUAACUCCGUG
rnacentral:rRNA from 1 species